ACCAGACUCCUACGGGAGGCAGCAGUGAGGAAUAUUGGUCAAUGGGCGCGAGCCUGAACCAGCCAAGUCGCGUGAGGGAUGACGGCCCUACGGGUUGUAAACCUCUUUUGUCGGGGAGCAAAUUCCGCCACGUGUGGCGGAGUCGAGAGUACCCGAAGAAAAAGCAUCGGCUAACUCCGUGCCAGCAGCCGCGGUAAUACGGAGGAUGCGAGCGUUAUCCGGAUUUAUUGGGUUUAAAGGGUGCGUAGGCGGGCUGUUAAGUCAGCGGUAAAAUGUCGGGGCCCAACCCCGGCCUGCCGUUGAAACUGGCGGCCUCGAGUGGGCGAGAAGUAUGCGGAAUGCGUGGUGUAGCGGUGAAAUGCAUAGAUAUCACGCAGAACUCCGAUUGCGAAGGCAGCAUACCGGCGCCCGACUGACGCUGAGGCACGAAAGCGUGGGUAUCGAACAGGAUUAGAUACCCGCGUAC
rnacentral:rRNA from 1 species